rnacentral:rRNA from 1 species
AUUGAACGCUGGCGGCAUGCCUUACACAUGCAAGUCGAACGGUAACAGGUCUUCGGAUGCUGACGAGUGGCGAACGGGUGAGUAAUACAUCGGAACGUGCCCGAUCGUGGGGGAUAACGGAGCGAAAGCUUUGCUAAUACCGCAUACGAUCUACGGAUGAAAGCAGGGGACCGCAAGGCCUUGCGCGGACGGAGCGGCCGAUGGCAGAUUAGGUAGUUGGUGGGAUAAAAGCUUACCAAGCCGACGAUCUGUAGCUGGUCUGAGAGGAGGACCGGCCAGAGUGGGACUGAGACACGGCCCAGCACCCUACGGGAGGCAGCAGUGGGGAAUUUUGGACAAUGGGCGAAAACCUGAUCCAGCCAGGCCGCGUGGAGGAUGAAGGCCUUCGGGUUGUAAACUGCUUUUGUACGGAACGAAAAGACUCUUUCUAAUAAAGAGGGUCCAUGACGGUACCGUAAGAAUAAGCACCGGCUAACUACGUGCCAGCAGCCGCCGUAAUAC